rnacentral:rRNA from 1 species
GAAGGACCCGAGCGUUAUCCGGAUUUAUUGGGUUUAAAGGGUGCGUAGGCGGACUAGUAAGUCAGUGGUGAAAGCCCAUCGCUUAACGGUGGAACUGCCAUUGAUACUGCUAGUCUUGAGUAUGGUUGAGGUGGGCGGAAUGUGUCAUGUAGCGGUGAAAUGCUUAGAUAUGACCCAGAACACCAAUUGCGAAGGCAGCUCGCUAAGCCAUAACUGACGCUGAUGCACGAAAGCGUGGGGAGCAAACAGGAUUAGAUACCCUGGUAGUCCACGCCCUAAACUAUGAUAACUCGUUGUUGGCGAUACACAGUCAGCGACUAAGCGAAAGCAUUAAGUUAUCCACCUGGGAAGUACGACCGCAAGGUUGAA